CAAAAUAAAGCAUUUCCCCAUGCAUCUCCCUUACACUGAGAAGAAUGAAGACAACCUUCUAUUUUGA
rnacentral:tRNA from 1 species